CCUGGUUGAUCCUGCCAGUAGUCAUAUGCUU
rnacentral:rRNA from 3 species